rnacentral:lncRNA from 1 species
GGGUGCAGUGGCGCCUGUUUUGCUUAGUUGCGGAGCUGACUUGAUUUGUCCCCUGUUCACUGCUCUCUGUCAUGCCACUGAAUGCUGUUUAGGGUGCUCAGUCAAGCUCCGAAGUUGCGACAUGGCAGGAAAGAAGUCAUACUGGAGAGAAAAAUCUCUGAAUACACUUCAUGUUGUAAAGCCUUUGACUAUCACAGUCACCCUCAGAGGAAUGAAAGAAUACAUACUGGAGAGAAGCCUUAUAAACGUAAUCAAUGUGGUGAAGCCUUUGCAUGUUACAGUCAUCACCAAUUACAUAAAAGGACACAUACUGGGCUGGAGAGAUGGCUCAGCGGCUAAGAGCACCGACUGCUCUUCCAGAGGUCCUGAGUUCAAGUCCCAGCAACCACAUCUUGGCUCACAGCCAUCUGUAGUGGGGUCUGGGAUCCACAAUAUUGUCUGGGUUUGAUAACUGUUUGAUAACUCUUCUGGUGUGUCUGAAGAGAUCAAUGUUGGUGUACUUAUAUGCAUAAAAUAAAUAAAUAAAUCUUUAACAACAACAAAAAAACCCACAUACUGGAGAGAAACCCUAUGAGUGUAAUCAAAGUGGUAUAGCCUUUGCACAUCAAAGUCAUCUUCAAAGGCAUGAAAGAAUGCAUACUGGAGAGAAACGCCAUGAACUUGUUUAAUAUGGUGAAGUCUUUGCACAUUUUAUAGUCUUCAUCAUCAUGAAAGUAUUCAUACUGGAGAGAUUCUAUGCAUGUAAGCAACGGGAUAAAGCCUUUGUGUUAUGUGUCCACUUAAGUCCAGUACAACUCCAACAUCAGGUCAAUGAAGAUGACAAGAAUUUAUUAUAAAGAAGCCACUACUGAUCAAUCAGGACUGUAGAAUAUACUCAGAAGCUGAAGUGCAACCCAUGUAACACAGCUUUUACUCUUGAAAACCACAAACGUGUUCCAAGUUACAGAUACAUUUCCCACCCAUCAGCACUUAGGGAUAGGGGCUUUCUUUAUGUGAUUGAACGCUGUCAACAGAUACAGAAUAUAAGUGUUACAGUCUAACCAAUCAUAUACACUUGGUUUGUUUCUUUUUGUGGUUAAGAAGAGUGAUUAUAUUUUGUGAAAGAAAGGAUGAAUAACAGAAGCUAUUCAGCUAUUGGGAAGUCUCCAGCUCCCCUAUAGCUUAGGAACUUGAACGUAGUUUCAUUCUAUGAUUAAAUGGAGUCCAAUAAUAAAAAAGGGAGUACUUAGAACAUGC